rnacentral:rRNA from 1 species
UACAGAGGGUGUAAGCGUUAAUCGGAAUUAUUGGGCGUAAAGGGCUUGUAGGUGGUUCUAUAAGUUAGAUGUGAAAACCCUGGGCUUAACCUGGGACGUGCAUUUAAUACUGUAGAGCUAGAGUAUAGUAGAGGAGAGGGGAAUUCCUGGUGUAGCAGUGAAAUGCGUAGAGAUCAGGAGGAACAUCUGUGGCGAAGGCGCCUCUCUGGACUAAUACUGACACUGAGGAGCGAAGGCGUGGGGAUCAAACAGGAUUAGAAACCCCGGUAGU